GAUGAACGCUAGCUACAGGCUUAACACAUGCAAGUCGAGGGGCAGCGGGAUUGAAGCUUGCUUCAAUUGCCGGCGACCGGCGCACGGGUGAGUAACGCGUAUCCAACCUUCCGUACACUCAGGGAUAGCCUUUCGAAAGAAAGAUUAAUACCUGAUGGUAUGAUGAGAUUGCAUGAUAGCAUCAUUAAAGAUUUAUCGGUGUACGAUGGGGAUGCGUUCCAUUAGGUAGUAGGCGGGGUAACGGCCCACCUAGCCUACGAUGGAUAGGGGUUCCGAGAGGAAGGCCCCCCACAUUGGAACUGAGACACGGUCCAAACUCCUACGGGAGGCAGCAGUGAGGAAUAUUGGUCAAUGGACGAGAGUCUGAACCAGCCAAGUAGCGUGAAGGAUGAAGGUCUUACGGAUUGUAAACUUCUUUUAUAAGGGAAUAAAACCUCCCACGUGUGGGAGCUUGUAUGUACCUUAUGAAUAAGCAUCGGCUAACUCCGUGCCAGCAGCCGCGG
rnacentral:rRNA from 1 species